rnacentral:rRNA from 2 species
UUAAUUGAAGAGUUUGAUCAUGGCUCAGAUUGAACGCUGGCGGCAGGCUUAACACAUGCAAGUCGAGCGGUAGCACAGGGGAGCUUGCUCCCUGGGUGACGAGCGGCGGACGGGUGAGUAAUGUCUGGGAAACUGCCUGAUGGAGGGGGAUAACUACUGGAAACGGUAGCUAAUACCGCAUAACGUCGCAAGACCAAAGAGGGGGACCUUCGGGCCUCUUGCCAUCAGAUGUGCCCAGAUGGGAUUAGCUAGUAGGUGGGGUAAUGGCUCACCUAGGCGACGAUCCCUAGCUGGUCUGAGAGGAUGACCAGCCACACUGGAACUGAGACACGGUCCAGACUCCUACGGGAGGCAGCAGUGGGGAAUAUUGCACAAUGGGCGCAAGCCUGAUGCAGCCAUGCCGCGUGUGUGAAGAAGGCCUUCGGGUUGUAAAGCACUUUCAGCGAGGAGGAAGGUGGUGAGCUUAAUACG